rnacentral:rRNA from 2 species
UGGAGGUUGUGGCCUUGAGCCGUGGCUUUCGGAGCUAACGCGUUAAGUAGACCGCCUGGGGAGUACGGUCGCAAGAUUAAAACUCAAAUGAAUUGACGGGGGCCCGCACAAGCGGUGGAGCAUGUGGUUUAAUUCGAUGCAACGCGAAGAACCUUACCUACUCUUGACAUCCAGAGAACUUUUCAGAGAUGAAUUGGUGCCUUCGGGAACUCUGAGACAGGUGCUGCAUGGCUGUCGUCAGCUCGUGUUGUGAAAUGUUGGGUUAAGUCCCGCAACGAGCGCAACCCUUAUCCUUGUUUGCCAGCGAGUAAUGUCGGGAACUCCAGGGAGACUGCCGGUGAUAAACCGGAGGAAGGUGGGGACGACGUCAAGUCAUCAUGGCCCUUACGAGUAGGGCUACACACGUGCUACAAUGGCGCAUACAGAGGGCUGCCAACUUGCGAAAGUGAGCGAAUCCCAAAAAGUGCGUCGUAGUCCGGAUUGGAGUCUGCAACUCGACUCCAUGAAGUCGGAAUCGCUAGUAAUCGUGGAUCAGAAUGCCACGGUGAAUACGUUCCCGGGCCUUGUACACACCGCCCGUCACACCAUGGGAGUGGGCUGCAAAAGAAGUAGGUAGUUUAACCUUCGGGGGGACGCUUACCACUUUGUGGUUCAUGACUGGGGUGAAGUCGUA